GACGAACGCUGGCGGCGUGCCUAAUACAUGCAAGUCGAGCGGAACCAUUGGAGCUUGCUCCUUUGGUUCAGCGGCGGACGGGUGAGUAACACGUGGGCAACCUGCCCUGCAGAUCGGGAUAACUCCGGGAAACCGGUGCUAAUACCGAAUAGUUUUUUGCCUCUCCUGAGGCGAAACGGAAAGACGGUUUCGGCUGUCACUGCAGGAUGGGCCCGCGGCGCAUUAGCUAGUUGGUGGGGUAAUGGCCUACCAAGGCGACGAUGCGUAGCCGACCUGAGAGGGUGAUCGGCCACACUGGGACUGAGACACGGCCCAGACUCCUACGGGAGGCAGCAGUAGGGAAUCUUCCGCAAUGGACGCAAGUCUGACGGAGCAACGCCGCGUGAGUGACGAAGGUUUUCGGAUCGUAAAACUCUGUUGUGAGGGAAGAACAAGUACCACGUAACUACU
rnacentral:rRNA from 1 species